rnacentral:rRNA from 1 species
UUAGGAAUCUUGCGCAAUGGGCGAAAGCCUGACGCAGCAACGCCGCGUGAGGGAUGAAGGUUCUCGGAUUGUAAACCUCUUUCAGCAGGAACGAAAUUGACGGUACCUGCAGAAGAAGCUCCGGCCAACUACGUGCCAGCAGCCGCGGUAAUACGUAGGGAGCAAGCGUUGUCCGGAUUUAUUGGGCGUAAAGAGCUCGUAGGCGGUUAAGUAAGUCAGGUGUGAAACCUCCAGGCUCAACCUGGAGACGCCACUUGAUACUGCUUUGACUUGAGUUCGGUAGGGGUAAGCGGAAUUCCUGGUGUAGCGGUGAAAUGCGCAGAUAUCAGGAAGAACACCGACGGCGAAGGCAGCUUACUGGGCCGAUACUGACGCUGAGGAGCGAAAGCGUGGGGAGCGAACAG